UCCGUCACCACCACCGCAUGCAGCAUGGAAGGAGAGAUGCACACUCGCUGCCUCGUUCAGCGGUUUCUUACUAACUUUAAGGCCCUGCCUCCAAAGAGAACCGAGCUGAAAGAAACCUGACCGGUGAAUAAAUAAGUCACAUGGAGGCCUGCUGCACCUGGACGAUUUGCAUGAAGGUUGAAAUGGAGAAACAAAAGUAAUUUGCCUUUAAGAUGGCCCUCCCUGGAAAAGAGAAACCGUGAGUUGAUCUGCAUCCCAAACAGAAAUGUGAAUGAAUAAAAGGAUAUGAUGGACUGGUAACACUUUGAGGAGCAUCCUAGUAACUUCCUUCACACUUUUGACAAAGCUGAAAAUAGAUGAAGCUGGUAGAGCUGAAUGUGGGGAGACUGAGGGGCGGUUGUUGCUGUUUAAGCAGUCUGGAGACUCAGGACCUCAUUGGUUUAAGAGCUGGUGAGUCCUUGCCAUGUGUUGGCAUGUGAAUAACAUGUAGCCUGUGAUGACAAA